AGCAGUCGCCGCGGUAAUAUGUAGGUGGCAAACGUUGUCCGGAAUUAUUGGGCGUAAAGCGCGCGCAGGUGGUUUAAUAAGUCUGAUGUGAAAGCCCACGGCUCAACCGUGGAGGGUCAUUGGAAACUGUUAAACUUGAGUGCAGGAGAGAAAAGUGGAAUUCCUAGUGUAGCGGUGAAAUGCGUAGAGAUUAGGAGGAACACCAGUGGCGAAGGCGGCUUUUUGGCCUGUAACUGACACUGAGGCGCGAAAGCGUGGGGAGCAAACAGGAUUAGAUACCCCUGUAGUCCCUGUCUCUUAUAC
rnacentral:rRNA from 1 species